AUGAGUGAAGAUCUUCCUUCCCCCCUUGUGUCUUACCAAGGACUGAGUUCCCACUUGUGGCGGAAAAAAAAGUAUACCAUCCCACCCGGCCUAACCCGGGGGGUUAAGGUUCCUCUCGGACCCCAAAGAGUUAUAUAA
rnacentral:rRNA from 1 species